GAAACACAACAGAACCGCUCAGAAAAUGGACUCAUAAUGUUUAAUCUUUCAUGUUGUAUAGACGCGACAACAGAGUGAAGGCGUGCUGAUCAUGAUAAACAUCUCCGAUUGAACAUUGUACCGUCACAUUCAGCAGGAUUCUCACGCAGAACUGCAAGUACCCGCUGUUCCUGGCAGGAGACGAAUGUCUGGAAUCCAGGAGCGACACCGAAGCCCAGCUGAUCAACGAAGGAGGGUUCGUCCUGACUGUGAAUCUGGACUUUGAUUCCAGCUUCAAAUGAGGUCUCAUCUUCAAAAUAAAGCGGAAUAUUCAAUGUCAUCUCCUCCAGAGAGCAUUUCUGAGGUGAUAAAACAGGCAGGUACUCAUCCUGCUGGAUGUCUAGCAUCAGCUCCAGGCCGUUUCCCAUCCCUCCUUUCGUGGUGACGAGAGACGGACGUCCGUUUCCUCCAGCGUUGAAGGUGUAGCAUUUCCCAUACCGAGUGAAGACCUGAAAACCAGACACUCUGAAUUCCAGAUUUACUCAAGUAUCACAUGUUUUCAGCUCAAUUUCCCAGCUCCAAACGACCACAUUUGACCUCACUCCCAACAGAACACCUAAGAUAGAUGUCCACUAGGGGUCAGUAAGUCUUCACGUGUGACUGGUAUAUGGGUGAAGGCAAAAAGGAUGAGAGGACACGGAGCCUCUGAGAGAAGAGGGGGGGAAAUGAAGCUGAGAACAAAAGUAUUCUCCUGGGUUGAAAGUUACACAAUCGACUGGCUGAGGUGAUGGAGAAUGGCAGACUGGUGAUUUAAAAUUCCCUCACAUGCACUUCAUCGCACUUUUAAUGGACCUGGUGUUACCAUGGAGACCGAGGAAGAUUGGGGUGCGAUACAUUUUUAAAAGAAUCUGAUGUUAGAUUAAAGAGCUGAAAGGUAUCAGGGAACAGAAUCGACACAUUGCAAAGGACGGAGCAUUGCAGAACAAUUUUUUUUCUUGAAAUGCAAUGCAUGCAACGCUCCAUUUUGGAUGAAUCAUAUGUAGCAGGAGUGAGGGGGGGGAGGAAGGGACGCAAAGUGGAAGAGACAGAAAGAGACAGAGCGGAGUUCUGCAGUGACUGCGGACGAUUGUUCCGUGUUGUGGCACAGACUGACAGAUCUGUGAUCAGGAGGAACAAAACCAGUGCGAUAAUGCUUUGGACAGAGUUUGGCCAGUGCCCCGGGCCAUUUCUGCAUUCCAGUCAUCUAUCAGUGAGAGUCUGCUGCGUUCAGGAGCAUCCAUCUGACCAGGAGGAACAAAAGGCUUUUGGAUAAACAGACGGCAGAGGAAGCCACAAAUAACCAGAUACAGUGAUUGAUUCCAUGUGACGCUGACAACCAGGCUGCUGAAGCGCUUUUGUUUUGAAGCACACACUGGAACAAUUCGCUCUCUGAAGGUUUGACCCUUCAGAAUCGAUUCAGAGG